GUGCUCGCUUCGGCAGUACAUAUACUAAAUUGGAAUGAUACAGAGAUUAGCAUAGCUCCUGUGCAAGGAUGACACACAUAUUCAUGGAGCGUUCCAUAUUUUU